GUCCACGCUGUAAACGAUGAGUGCUAGGUGCUGUGGGUAUUGACCCCCGCGGUGCCGAAGCUAACGCGAUAAGCACUCCGCCUGGGGAGUACGGCCGCAAGGCUAAAACUCAAAGGAAUUGACGGGGGCCCGCACAAGAGGUGGAGCAUGUGGUUCAAUUCGACGCAACGCGCAGAACCUUACCUGGGUUAAAUCCACACGAACUCGUCAGAGAUGACUUGGUGCCCUUCGGGGAAUGUGUGAGACGGUGCUGCAUGGCUGUCGU
rnacentral:rRNA from 1 species